GACGAACCGAGCGAACGUUGUUCGGAAUCACUGGGCUUAAAGGGCGCGUAGGCGGGCUGCCAAGUUUGGGGUGAAAUCCUCCGGCUCAACCGGGGAAGGGCCUUGAAUACUGGCGGUCUGGAGGGGGGUAGGGGCGUGCGGAACUAACGGUGGAGCGGUGAAAUGCGUUGAUAUCGUAAGGAAGACCAGUGGCGAAGGCGGGUCUCUGGACAGUUCCUGACACUGAGACACGAAGGCCAGGGGAGCAAACGGG
rnacentral:rRNA from 1 species